rnacentral:lncRNA from 1 species
CCUCCAGCAAAACAAAACCAGUUUACAAAAGGAAACAUAGUUUGCCAGCAAUGAUAUUUUUAAAAGCACAGACAAAACACACAAAUAUAUAUAUACAUACAUAUAUAUAUAUAUAUACAUACAUAUAUAUAUAUACAUACAUAUAUAUAUAUAUACAUACAUAUAUAUAUAUACAUACAUAUAUAUAUAUAUAUAAAGCUUUAUCAUACAACUAAGCACUCAAAAAAUAAGACAGACCACUAGUCUGAUAAGGAGUUGAAAAGACAAACAAAGCAAAAUCACACAGAUUUAAGAACAACCCAUGCAACUGAGUUUCAGAAAGAAACAUGAUGUUUUAAUAAACAAAACAAAGUGUUAUCUAUAUCUCAUGUUAAAAAAG